UGACGCCAGCUAGUUGACCUCUAAGGGGGCAGGGCUCUCUAAGGCCUUUGUGGGCCAGAAGAGUUCCUUCCUGGUGGACUGCAGCAAAGCCAGCUCCAACAUGCUGCUGAUCAGGGUACAUGGGCCCACGACCGCCUGCGAGAAGGUCUCCAUGAAGCAUGUAGGCAACCAGCAAUACAAUGUCACAUACGUCGUCAAGGAGAGGGGCCAUUACGUGCUGGCUGUGAAGUGGGGGGAGGAACACAUCCCUGGCAGCCCUUUUCAUGUCACAGUGCCUUAA
rnacentral:lncRNA from 1 species